AUGCUCACUUCGGCAGCACACAUACUAAACUGGAACAAUACAGAGAGGAUUAGCAUGACCCCUGUGCAAGGAUGACACGUAAAUUCAUGAAGCAUUCCAUAUUUUU
ensembl:snRNA U6 U6 spliceosomal RNA